AUUGAACGCUGGCGGCAGGCCUAACACAUGCAAGUCGAGCGGUAGCACAGAGAGCUUGCUCUCGGGUGACGAGCGGCGGACGGGUGAGUAAUGUCUGGGAAACUGCCUGAUGGAGGGGGAUCACUACUGGAAACGGUAGCUAAUACCGCAUAAUGUCGCAAGACCACAGUGGGGGACCUUCGGGCCUCAUGCCAUCAGAUGUGCCCAGAUGGGAUUAGCUAGUAGGUGGGGUAACUGCUCACCUAGGCGACGAUCCCUAGCUGGUCUGAGAGGAUGACCAGCCACACUGGAACUGAGACACGGUCCAGACUCCCACGGGAGGCAGCAGUGGGGAAUAUUGCACAAUGGGCGCAAGCCUGAUGCAGCCAUGCCGCGUGUGUGAAGAAGGCCUUCGGGUUGUAAAGCACUUUCAGCGGGGAGGAAGGCGUUAAGGUUAAUAACCUUGGCGAUUGACGUUACCCGCAGAAGAAGCACCGGCUAACUCCGUGCCAGCCGCCGCGGUAA
rnacentral:rRNA from 1 species